AUUAAUAUAAAAUAGUACAUGCUCCAAACUCAAUAAAAUAGCAAGAUGGUGUUGUAUAUCAUUUGAGUUUUGAAUUUAAAAUUCUGAAGAGACAUUAUCCAAUUAAUAAUUGGGUUUAUACUUUUUGUUCGACAAGCUGAGAAUUCUUACUUUGGGAUCCUUUAGCAGAUAAUUUAGAUGUAAGGUACAUAGAGCUGGUAAUCUGAUUUCUUUGGC
rnacentral:lncRNA from 1 species